ensembl:ncRNA lncRNA:CR45572 long non-coding RNA:CR45572
CCACGCCGAAUCUGCUGGAGCGAGGAGAUAUACAAAGAACUACCAGCAAACUGACCAGCGGAGCUCAUCAAGCCACCUACGCUUACGGUACUCGACCAACUGCAAAUUAAUCUCCCUCCUCCUGCUCCCCCUCCUCCUCAUUCUCUGACCGACACACUCCCGGUUUCUUUGCAGAUCUGGGAAUAGGAAUAGGAAGCCCCGGGGCCUGCCACACUUCUGAAGUCAUUUUCCAAAUGCUUGACAAUUUAUCAUUCCGCUUUAUUUGGGCAAUUUUUCUGUUCGUCAAGUGCUCUUGGCCAAAGGGAACAGAAAACUGGCAAAAAGGUAGCACUUGGCAGAAGUCAAUGGCUUGACCCAUAUCUGGGUCAGUCUGAUUGAGAAGCCGGCGGCCGUCGACUGCCAAAAAUGUUAAUUAAUUCGAAUUAAAAUGUUGCGAAUGUGGUCGCUGACAGAAUCUGAGUCCGGCAAAGGAAAUGGAGUUGGUCUCUGGAUGUAGAGAUGGCAUAGGAGUUCCGAAACGAAGUAGAGUCAAGAUAUGCCGAAGAAGGCGGUGGCGUUGGCAGUUUUCCGUUGGCCAGAGUCACCUGAACCGCUGAUAACUCAGGCCACCGAUUCCGUUUCCAUUUCUAUUGUACUUGGAGCGGCUUUCGGUUUUGGUGGUUCUGCGGUUUUGCAACGGACCAAAGGCCAGGCCAGAAUUUUGAUAUUGAAAUUGCUACCUUGGCACACCGAGCAGCCGAACACAGAGGAAAUUCUGCCGGAGGCCAUGGUUUGAUAACAUCAGUUCGAGGGGGAGGAACUCGGGGAGGAGCGCCUCCCACUAUAGGCCGACGUACUGUAGGAAAACAAAAGACAACAAUUCCAUUUGGUAAAAGCUCGCCCUGGGAGGAAAGCGGGAAAUGCAACGCCAUGGCGAAAAAAGAAUGAAAAAUAAUCUAAAGUUUGGACGUGGAGUUGCAGCUCAGUUCGGUUUUGGUUUCGGUUUGCGUUUGCUUUAGUCAAAUGUAACUACAAUUUAAAUGCUAAUCUGGCAUCUGUUGGCGGUCGGAGGUUGGCGGAUUUCGGAUGGUGGGCAAUGGCACUGCAGAACGCAGCAGCAUGGGCAAACAGCCCGCCCAUGAACCGCCCACCGAUUGGUGGGUGUGCAGGAGGAGGAGGUGGAAUCGGGGGAGUAGGGAGUAUAGUCACACUUAGCGGUUGGAGCCGGGAUUUGCAUUUGCUCAUUAGCUACCAAAACAAACCCACAAAUAAAGGAGGCGAACAUUCAGAGGCCCAUGCCCUCAAAGGUGCUUAUUUAUUGUACAAUCUGACUCCUGACUGACUCCGCUGUAUAAUUAGUUUUCACGCCUAUAAACUGCCGACUUUAUUUGUGGCGGAUGCCUGCUCUGGAUUCCCAGCGAAAUUGGCCACAAAAAUGUUGGAUCUCGGAUUUCUGGCCGAGGUUCAACGGAACACACUACCACCUAUCCCCCCGAACGGUUUCUUGGAAACCGCGACACUUGAGAACACUAAAAAUACAAAUACGAAUAGAAUCAGAAAUAAGAAGUAAGCCAAAACUAGCAGCACUAUCAAGAGCGAAAGAACAUUUGUAAACUGCCAAU